AGAAAGAUAAAGACAUUAAUGAUAUAUAUUCAUCAAAAGAGAAUGGGAAUAUGGUUACGGCAAAGGCAAGUGGAAACCAUAUGAUCUAACACAGAAAAAAAAUAUUUCACAAGCUUUUUCUUGUGGUGAAAAAACCAUGGACAUCAAGAUGCCACGUUCAGAACAAUCAGUUAUCUUUGAAAGAAUGGUCCAGCGUAAUAAAAAGACGGGUUGGGAAGUUGCUGUAAGGUGUAAACCAGAAGAUGUCAACGUUGAUGAUAAAUAUGUUUGGCAAUGGAAAACAAACUCCUCCAUUUCGAAAACAUUUUCUGCAAAUAGCCAUAGGCAUCUUGAUGCGGCAGUUAAGCACGAAAUGAAAACAACAACACUCAAAGAAGGUGAAGAACUGUUUAUCUUUGAUAUGUUAACCAAAGAAAUUGUAAUUGUAAUUGUAAUUGUAAUUGUAAUUGUAAUUGUAAUUGUAAUUGCAAUUGGUUGUGACUGAGAAGCAAUCCACGAAGGUGUCUUCAAGUUGCAUAAUGUAAUUUAAAUAGCACGAUGAAGGAGCAGUCAGUUCACCAAAGUUGAGUUCUUUAUAUGCCUUGAAAUAGCAAAGCAAAUUACCAUCAUUGUUUAUGUUAUUUGAAGUCAAAACGUUCUUACAUUGGAGACAGCUGUGGAUUUUGAAAGCUUUGCUUAGCAAAUAUCCUGAAACAUAGGCAGCAGCAUUUUUGAGCAAUAAAUUGUUGCCAAUAUUUUGUUCUCGGUAGUCAUUUUCACCAAUCAACAGUGAGUUACUUGGAGCUUUUGCAUGGAACAGUUUCCUUUGGAAGAGGUCAAAAGUGAACU